CUGGGCUCUCAGUCUAACACAAAACAUGCUGGGGGUUCGGGGUGGGGUUCACAGGAUAUCAUUAUUUGUAGUUUGGAUAUCCUCCAAGUACUUUCUUUAAGCUACCUUGGGGCUGCUCCUCCCCGUCAUUUUUUCAUGCUCCAUUGUAUAGUCAAGGUGUUGGCUUCACAUUGCUCAUCUGCAGUACUAAAACAGGCUCUCCACUUGCUCUGAAAUAUAAGACUGGUUAUGGAAAAGAGAUUACAAAAAGCUAAAGGAUUCAGUCGAGACAAAUUGUUGUAAGAGUUUGGACUGGAGUGGUGGCGGUGAUUGCACAGAG
rnacentral:lncRNA from 10 species